rnacentral:rRNA from 1 species
GAUGAACGCUAGCGGCAGGCCUAAUACAUGCAAGUCGGACGGGAUUCAGGAGCUUGCUUCUGAUGAGAGUGGCGCACGGGUGCGUAACACGUAUGUAACCUACCUUUAUCAGGGGGAUAGCCUCUCGAAAGAGAGAUUAAGCCCGCAUAAAAUCACAGCACAGCAUUGUGUAAUGAUCAAAUAUUUAUAGGAUAAAGAUGGGCAUGCGGAACAUUAGCUAGAUGGCGGGGUAACGGCCCACCAUGGCGACGAUGUUUAGGGGAUCUGAGAGGAUGGCCCCCCACACUGGUACUGAGACACGGACCAGACUCCUACGGGAGGCAGCAGUAAGGAAUAUUGGUCAAUGGGCGGAAGCCUGAACCAGCCAGGCCGCGUGCAGGAAGACGGCCCUACGGGUUGUAAACUGCUUUUAUACGGGAAUAAACCCAGAUACGUGUAUCUGGCUGAAUGGACUGUAAGAAUAAGGAUCGGCGAACUCCGU